rnacentral:rRNA from 1 species
GCAACCCGGAGAACUGAAACAUCUAAGUACCCGGAGGAGAAGAAAACAAAAGUGAUUCCGCUAGUAGUGGCGAGCGAACGCGGAAUAGCCCAAACCAUUAUUGUUACGGCAAUACUGGGGUUGUAGGACUGCGAUAUUGGUUGUGUAAUGAAUUAGAAUCCUUUGGAAAGAGGAACCAUAGAGGGUGAUAGUCCCGUAUAAGUAAAGAUCAUUAACCAUAGCAGUAUCCUGAGUAGUGCGGGACACGUGUAAUCCUGUAUGAAUUUGGCGGGACCAUCCGCUAAGGCUAAAUACUCCUGAGAGACCGAUAGUGAACUAGUACCGUGAGGGAAAGGUGAAAAGAACCCUGAAUAAGGGAGUGAAAUAGAACCUGAAACCAUACGCUUACAAGCGGUCGGAGCCCUUUGGGGUGACGGCGUGCCUUUUGCAUAAUGAGCCUACGAGUUACCGUUUCUAGCAAGGUUAAGCACUUCAGGUGCGGAUCCGUAGCGAAAGCGAGUCUGAAUAGGGCGAUAUAGUUAGUGGCGGUAGACGCGAAACCGUGUGAUCUACCCAUGGGCAGGGUGAAGCUGUGGUAACACAUAGUGGAGGCCCGAACCCGUUGACGUUGAAAAGUCUUGGGAUGACCUGUGGGUAGGGGUGAAAGGCCAAUCAAACUCGGAAAUAGCUCGUACUCCCCGAAAUGCAUUUAGGUGCAGCGUAUUAUUAGUUUUAUAGAGGUAGAGCUACUGAUUGGAUGCGGGGGCUUCACCGCCUACCAAUUCCUGACAAACUCCGAAUGCUAUAAAAUGAUGUAAUGCAGU